rnacentral:lncRNA from 1 species
UUGAAAUGAUCUGAGCUAAGUCCGAGAGAAAUCUUUAGCACCGAGUGGGAGGUAUAAAGCGACCUUACUUCCCUAGAACUACGUGCCCCCGUAGGAGUGAGCCUGAGGCUGAUUUAUAUAGUGAUCACUAGUUUGUGUGGAUUUGAUAUCGAUAGUCCUACUCCGAUGGCAAGGAUAGGAUGGCUCUCCCCAAUGUGGG